GACGAACGCUGGUGGCGUGCUUAACACAUGCAAGUCGAACGGGAUUUAGUAAACAGAAGCCUCGGUGGAAGAUUACUAAUGAGAGUGGCGAACGGGUGAGUAACGCGUGAGCAACCUGCCUAUGACAGUGGGAUAGCCUCGGGAAACCGGGAUUAAUACCGCAUAAAAUCGUAGAGACACAUGUUUUAACGGUCAAAGAUUUAUCGGUCAUAGAUGGGCUCGCGUCUGAUUAGCUAGUUGGUGAGAUAACAGCCCACCAAGGCGACGAUCAGUAGCCGGUCUGAGAGGAUGAACGGCCACAUUGGAACUGAGACACGGUCCAAACUCCUACGGGAGGCAGCAGUGGGGAAUAUUGCACAAUGGGGGAAACCCUGAUGCAGCGACGCCGCGUGAACGAAGAAGGUAUUCGUAUCGUAAAGUUCUGUCCUAUGGGAAGAUAAUGACAGUACCAUAGAAGAAAGCUCCGGCUAAAUACGUG
rnacentral:rRNA from 1 species